rnacentral:rRNA from 1 species
GUUGCCUGUGAAACGAAUCUAAGUUCCUCCUUAGUUCCUCUCCAUGGACCCUUAGCCAAACCCCCACGUAGUGAACUAAGAGCAACUUAAAGGAGGUACAGCUCCUUUAAGAAAGAACACAGUCUCUCAUAGCGGAUAAACAUAACCCACUCCCUCCCCUGUUCCCCGUAGGCCUUCAAGCAGCCAUCGAUAAAGAAUGCGUCAAAGCUCUUUCCCCUAAAAAUGUAAAAAUAACACGACUCCCUCCUCACUAACAGGCUAACCUAUCACAAUAGGAGAAUUAAUGCUAGAAUGAGUAACUAGGGCUACCCCUCUUAAGCGCAAGCUUACAUCCCCCUAUUAUUAACAGCAUCCAAAUAAUAUUCUAACCUCAACAAGUCAGUACAUUUAAAACUACUCUGUUAACCCAACCCAGGAGCGCCCACUAGAAAGACUAAAAUCUGCAAAAGGAACUAGGCAACCCCAAGACCCGACUGUUUACCAAAAACAUAGCCCUCAGCAAGCCAAGUAUUGAAGGUGAUGCCUGCCCAGUGACCCUCAGUUCAACGGCCGCGGUAUCCUA